GCCCUCUAUCCCCCUGCCCCCUCCUCCCCUCCUGCCCUGGGAGCUGAGACACCGAUUCACUCCAGCAUCCGCAGGCCCCGCCCCAGCUGGAGGCCGAGGCUUUGGGAAGAAGGGUCUUCCAGGAAGCACUACCCCGCCUACAAGUGGUACCUCAUGAGGGCGUCUGUUCAAAAUAACGGAUCUCUCCAUCUACUCGGACCCGGGUGCAGAUGAGGAUCCUUGAGUGUGAUUCCUCAAGUACCGUGCUUCCCUCUUUGAAGACUUGGCCGCUGUGGAAGAGGUUGUGGGGGGACAUCGCAGAUAAUCAUUCUGGCCUCAUUGGAAUUUCAUCCUCUUUUUUAUCACACUGGCCAUGCAUGCUGGUACGGCAGGUAUUUCCUGGAAAACUUAGCAGAAUCAUGGGCCAGGAUUUGAACCAUGUCUUCAUUUGUCAAAGGAUUUUGGAGAACAUGAGCAAAAUGAAAUCCACAGUAGAAACCAGAAUCCUUGCCACGACCCACCUAAGCAAACAGGUAAAUACAGAAUUUAAGUUCUAA
rnacentral:lncRNA from 1 species